CAUCAUUGAGAUUUGAGAUAUAGUGACUUUGUAUAAAAGAUGAUGAAGGAAUCAACCAUUGUAUUCACUCUUCUUUGGGCGUUCAUUUUGCUCGGUUCACAAUCAUGUAUAGUACUCGGAAAAGAUCAAAAGUGUCAAAGAACACAAGAUUGUGCUCCGUCUUGUCAACUUGGAAUUCCGACUUGUUCUGACGGAAUUUGUGGAUGUAUUGAGGGAAUAAGAAGGAGUGUUUAUUUUAAGAAAGACAAUGUUUAUUUGGGUAAAUGUUCUUGUGGAUGUAAACCACAUUGUGUCCUAGGAUUUUGCACAUGUCCUUGUUGUUGAAAGCAAAAACUAAGACAUGUUUGAGGUUAAGA